CCCGGCCUGGCCGGCCUCAGCUAGAAAGGGCGGGAACGCUCAGGUGAGAAGAAAAAGCGGCGGGAAGCGAUAAAGGCGGGAAGCGACAGCGGCGUUCUGGGCUCCUAUUGGCUGGCGGGCAGCCCGGAAAUCUAUAUAAGGUGCGCGGACGAACAGGUGAGAGACGUGAUUACCUCAGCGCGUCAGAAGAAACGGGAUGCUGUGAGGGAGAGGCGGCAACGGCGACGGCAGCAAGCGGUCUCUAGAGCUGAGCCUGCCCGCCUCUGUGAUCCCCCGCAGCACCGGCUGGAAGUCCGCCGCGCGUCAGUGAGGAGCUGCUGCAGAAGAAAGAAGAAGCAGCGGCGUGGGGACCUGGGCGGCAGGAGCGAGCAAGAAGAGGAUGCGGAAGCGUGCAGAUGCGGGGGGGAAGGAGAGAGGCUCCCUGGGCAAAGCACCUGUCCCGUUAGCGGGGCCGCAGUCGCAUUUGAGUUGAGCGUUGCCGGCGCCUUUGGCGACCCGGCCGGCUUUGUGCUGGGCGACCUCCCUGUAAGCAGGGCUCGGGUCUUUGCUGUAGUUGGCCUUUUGCCUUGCUGCUCCUAGGGCUGCCUGGGGAGCGUGGCCCCCUGUAACGGAGGGCGAGAGCCACCUCUCCGCACCUGAGUGGGAAAUGGAGCUCGCCGGACCCCGAGGCCACCCUGUAAGCAGGGUAGUGCCGCUUCCCUGCCCCUCUUUGUCCUCCGGCCCCUCGGCAUCGUUGCCUGGUGGUGGCCUGUCAAUGCGACGGCCCCGUACUCGGGGUGCGCGCCACGGCAUUUGGCCUUUGGCUUUACCCGAGGAGCCCCUUGGCACGUUGAGGUCUGUGGCCUCCGUGCAGCCUAGGGACAGGUCACAGGCUCUUGUCUGUUGCUUGUGGUUGUGGGUUUAUUCCCAGGUGUUGGCUGCGCUGGGUUGUCCUUCCCUUCUGGAAAGUCGCGCCUGCGUGUGUGCGUUCCCCUUCCUUUCCUUGUUUGCGUUUGUGGAGCGACUGAGCGACUGAGCUUUCCCUUUAGGCCUCCCCAGAGACGGCUGCAGCUUAGCUUUGACUUCCCGGGGGGGAACGGAGGACUUUGGUGCAUGCCGCAAGAGGGGUGUUCCCUGCUAGUCCCGCGAGCGCAGCGAGUGUCCUGUCUUCCUCCUUUUUACUUAGUCCAGAUCAGAGCCACGCGGUAGUUGUGUGGCCGAGGCCGCCCUGUAGCCAGGGCUUGGGCCUGUCCUUGCGUGGCCGCCUGUUCUGCUGGCGGCGUGGCAGCCCUGUAGUCGGGGUGUGUGUCCCAAGCUUAGGAGCCCUCUGUCCCUUGAGCAGCCCGCCCGCCCGCCCUGUACUCAGGUGUGGGGAGGCUGCAGCGUUGCAGCCGGCUGCUUUAGCCAUCCAGCUGGUGGGAAUGACCCCUCCCUGUCCCGUCAGAGGGUGCAGGUUGAGGUGCUGCUUGCGUGUGGGGUGACCUCCCCGCUCGGUGGGUCGAGGCUGCUCCCUGGGUUCCCCAAGAGAAGACGUUGGUGAUGUUCUGCUGCUGCCGGGCGGGCCCGCCUGUAGCUCAGGCGUUGGCGGGAGCCUCGUGCUCCGCGGGGCUUCUUGGAGAGGGUGAGGUGCGGGGGUACGGUCCUGUAGGCAGGGCUGUGUGUGCCCCCCGUGUGUGCUUGCUGAGCUGUGUUCCGAGAGACCCCCCCCCCCCCCCCCCCCCCCCCGGACUCGGGUGGGAAUGUGGCCCCGGCCUUUCAGAGGCACGGGGCUGCGAGGUGUGGGCUUGGGCUUGCGCCCUCCCUGGAAGUUGAGGCUGGGAUCCCGACUGCGGCCUUUGGCCGUGCCGCCCCGCUGCCUGGCUGCUGAGAGUUGUUCCUGCCGCUGGGGGGGAAACCGAGCUCUGUGGCUCCAGG
ensembl:lncRNA